rnacentral:rRNA from 1 species
AUUGAACGCUGGCGGCAUGCCUUACACAUGCAAGUCGAACGGUAACGGGCCUUCGGGUGCCGACGAGUGGCGAACGGGUGAGUAAUAUAUCGGAACGUACCUUUCAGUGGGGGAUAACGUAGCGAAAGUUACGCUAAUACCGCAUAUUCUGUGCGCAGGAAAGCAGGGGACCUUCGGGCCUUGCGCCGAUUGAGCGGCCGAUAUCAGAUUAGCUAGUUGGUGAGGUAAAGGCUCACCAAGGCGACGAUCUGUAGCGGGUCUGAGAGGAUGAGCCGCCACACUGGAACUGAGACACGGUCCAGACUCCUACGGGAGGAAGCAGUGGGGAAUUUUGGACAAUGGGGGCAACCCUGAUCCAGCCAUGCCGCGUGAGUGAAGAAGGCCUUCGGGUUGUAAAGCUCUUUCGGCCGGGAAGAAAUCGUAUGGGCUAAUACCCUGUGCGGAUGACGGUACCGGCAUAAGAAGCACCGGCUAACUACGUGCCAGCAGCCGCCGUAACAC